ensembl:lncRNA
AUGAUUGAGCCUCGUGGCUCUGUUUCUGACAGGCGUGGGCGUAAGACUCCUCGAGAGUCGGAUACUCUCGAGGAGCGAGAGAGAAAAAGACUGCGAGACAUAUUUGCAGCACCAUCUGACGAAGAGUCUUUCGAAGGGUUCACGGAAAGAAUGGAGGAGGGGCUGGUUAGCUCAGAGGAGGAUGAGAUGGAUUGGACUCGGGUAAGGGAGGAAUUGGGGGCCACUGGCCAUGAUGGGGCAGAAGAUGAAUGGAGGAGGGGCUGGUUAGCUCAGAGGAGGAUGAGAUGGAUUGGACUCGGGUAAGGGAGGAAUUGGGGGCCACUGGCCAUGAUGGGGCAGAAGAUGAAUGGGGACCUUCAGGAUUAGACCCAUGGCUUAGCUGGAGGGAUGGGACGGGAUCCACAGCUGGAGAUGCUGUUGGGCGUAGUCAGAGGUGUUCCAGCUCUGACGAGGAAAGUGAUGAGGAAACGCCCGGGUUAAGGAGGACAGCUGACAGUGAUGAAGAUUUGUAACUGGCAUAAAAUGGGGCUUGGGAGCAAUUGCAAAUUGCGUCGGGCAAGGUAAUCUGGGCAAGGUAAUCUGGGCAAACGCUUGGGAUUCGUGUGUGUGUGUGGGACGCUUCCCUGAAGACUUGUGUACUUUCCUGUGCUGAGACGUAAGUUGAUUGGAAUCCAGGGUCAGACGGCGGGAGGGAUUGUGUGGGCAUUUGUUUGUGCAAACCUGUGCUUACUCUUAUUAGCUUGACCUUCCGUCGUCUUCUUGACGGACGCCAUCUCCUGCUUUGAGAACUCGGACUGAACUGACCACGGCUUGUCUUCCCCCCUUCUUGGACUUGGAAAAACUACAAACGUCUGCUUCUGGCUUUGAUCUACGGAACGGAACUGGUCUACUCUACUGCUAAAAUCCCUGGCUGAAUCGUUCGUGUUGGAAUCCUGUCUGCUGUGUGUGUGUGUGGGAGCGACGCAAGUUACUCUAAACACAGUGUUGGCAGCAGAGAGGAAUCUGCUGCCAAUUAGUUGCAUUCUUUAUCUUUUGUUCCUUGGCUUUCGUUUUGUUUAUACCCAGGCUGAAGAAAGCAGUUUGUUUUUACCCGGAUUAAACUCCGGUUUAAUCCGGUUUAUCUUUUGAACAUUUACUUUUGCCCCUUUUUGCUCCUAAAGGCAAAAAUUGCCUGGCCCUUGUGUUUUACGGGCAUUUUUGAGUUCUGUAAUCUAAUAAACUCUGUUACUUUGAAUCUUGUGGCGUUCUGUCCUUGACACAUCUACAUUUACAGUGUCAUGCAGUUUGAUGGCUUAUUCAUUGUAUGAUAUUUAUACCACAUGCUGCAAACACAUAAUGCUGUUCAGCAGUGGAACUCUCUAACCCAGAGUGUGAUGGAGGCUCCUUCUUUGGAGGCUUUUAAGCAGAGGCUGGAUGACCAUCUGUCAGGGGUGCUUUGAAUGCAAUUUUCUUGCUUCUUGUCAGGUGAUUGGACUGGAUGACCCAUGAGGUCUCUUCCAACUUUAUGAUUCUAUGAUGCAGUAUGUAUUUCGGGCUGUAAUCCAAGAUAAGGAAAGGCAAGGAUAUUCCAAAAUAGAGACUUUAAUGCACAUCAGGGCAUGUUAGUGUAACUGAUGAUGUCUCUUGAUUUGUUCUUCUCCAUUUGCAUUUCCUUAGAUAUUUGCUAAGUCUAGGAGAAAGGAAAAUCCCAAAUUGCUAAUUCUCAGAUAUCAAGACUACUAUGUGAUGCCACCCCUGUGUUGGUUGAUUUAGGAUUUCAGAUUCUAAUCCAGGGAGGACUCAAAGGAGUGAUAUGAUCAUGAAAUCACUUGUGAGUUUGUGAUCUUUUAUGAGAAGUCUGAAUUUCAUGCAUUUCUUUCUGAAACCUUUGAGGAUCUGCUUUUAACUGGCUCAUGAUUGACCGAUUGCUAUCAGUGACAGUUUCAUGUGGCUGCCAGUGACACACUCUUUUUGAACGCAUUUUGUAGAUGUUUGUUCAGUAACAUGAUUAAAACUUCUAGUGAAUUGCAAACUCCCAGUCAUCCUGAAAUGAGAUGCACAAAUGAGAGAUGCCAAUCAAGCCUAAUAUGUGCUGUGAUGAAGCACAAACAGCUGCAUUCAACAUGCAACCAUAAAGCUCACAGUUUGAACAUUUGGGAGAAAUUACUGUUUUGUCCCCGAUAAAAGAUGUUGUCAACUUCUGUAAAAUUUCCACUUCUUCAUGGUGAAUACAUUUAUUGAUUGUUAGUUUCCCAACAUAAACAGUAGAAUUAAAAAAAGAAAGGGAAAAUGAAAAUACAGACAUUGGAUGCCCAUGAUAUACUUAAAAUUGUCAUGUGUGGUGACAGAACACAUUUAUCUGAUGUGUCAUGGAGCUCAGUGGAGGAAAAGAAAAGGUUAUGAUCUUGGAGAUUAUAAACAAACUGUUUUGAUCCAUGCAGGGCUUUGAAGAAAUAAGUAAGGGCCAAUCCAGAUGAUUAAUACAGUUUCCAUGCACUUCUCCCUGAGGGCUAGUUCACACAGAGCUUAGGCACAAACGUUAGCCAUGUGGUCAAGUUAUUUAGCUUCCUGUGCUUCCUCUCCUUCAAGCCUUUCAUGGGAAUCUGAAACUGCACACACAUACUGAUAUGACUGAGAAUUUCACUUGGCUUUCUGGGAAGAAUUUUUCAAAAUUUGCACAUUUCUUCACAAAUUUAACAUAAAGAACUUGAGAAAAUUCUGAAUGUGAGUUAAAACAGAUUUGCCUCAGCUCUUAUGGAUUAGCUCUUAAUGAGACUUCAAAUUCAGAAUUUACAUUAUAUUAUCUCAAUUUUACAUUAUUGUCUUCCCCAAUGAAUCAUAAUCUCAUGGCACAUCCAAACUAUGACAGUCACAUUUAGUACUUCUGACUAUAAGAAAAAUAUGGGUGAAGAUUAAAAUCCCUAGUAAAAAUGGUUGGAAAUUUGGUAAAAAAUUAUCAGUGUUUACAAAUUUCAUUAUAAAUGAGAAAGAAAAAAUUUAUUAACAAAACAUGAAAUAAAGAUUAAUGGAAUCAAUACACUUGUCCCCUCCUUGAUGUGAAUGCACCCUUGAACCCUCAUAUGGGAAUGUCUGCACAUAAAUUCACUGAAACAUCACGUGCAAGAUCACUGUAGGAUAUGGGGAUCUGAAGCCACAGGGACUGCAAAUGGACAUUAGAUUUUACUAUUGCUCCUUCUACAUAUCUUCCAAGUUAAACAGGGGCAUUGCCAGCAAUCAAGUAAACCAGAUGCCCCUGCUAUAAGGGGAUUUUAUGCUAAUCUUCCAGUUGAUGAUGAAGGCUCAGUGUGGGAGGUACAACAUGCUAAAACACAGAGAUAAAAUAUUAAAAUGCGUAUAUUAAAAUAUACUAAACAAAGAUUGACACAUACUAAAGAAAUGUAACAUUAACAUUCACAAUUUAAAAUCGAGUGGGAUGACAUACUUACCUGGAAAUGGUCAGCUCUAUUGUGCCAUAGCCCCUCCCUUCCAAUUGUCACUGCCCUGGCCUUUGAGGGAGAGAAGGAUAGGAAAGCACAUCUUCAUCAAGCCUUAGCUCCAGCAGCUGAUGAAAGGCCCUCCCUUUGCUGUGACCUUGGGAAGAAAGAACAGGCAAUAUCUACCAUACCAUAAGGGUCAACUCCUUGCCAUGCAGGAAUACAUAAAGCAUUCCUAUCAGAAUAAUAAGAGUUGGAAGAGACCACAAGGACCAUCCAGUCCAACCCCAUUCUGCCAUGCAGGAAUACACAAAGUACUCCUGAUAGAUGGUUAUCCAUCUAUUCCACUGUCAAAAAGUCCUUUGUAAUGUUUAGGUGGGAUAUCUUUUCCUGCAAUUUGAAUCCAUUGUGCCAAAAGAGAUUAACUGUUAAGUAAGCUCGCUGAUCACAGUCAGGUUUGCUUCCAUGUACACAUUAAUUAAUAUAGCACAGACCAAUAUGUGGUUAUCAAUACAACUCUGUAUUAUAUAUCCUCAGAAGUAAACUAUAUCAAGUAGUUUAUUCCACUGUAAACUGGUAUCUCGGAAUGAGUAGAUGGGUGAGCUCUCCCUGCUCCAAGUCUUAUUGUUAUAGAAAUGAACUGAACUAUUUCCCAAAAUACCCCAAAUAGCUUGGUUUGUUUUCUAAAAUAUUCAAUCACAGAUUUUAAUCCAACCCUGACAAUAAUGUGUGCUCAUAAAGUUCUUUGAGGUGAAUUUUAUUUGAGCAGUUUCAGUGACAUAGCUAAUGGAUGAUAUAUAUUGUCUUAAUGGCUGUGGUCAUCAGAGAAGCCUAAAAUAUGUAUAAGGCAUCCCCAAUAUCUGGCCCUAAGGCAAUGCAAAGACCAAACAGGUACAGCAGUUCUUUUCCUUAAAAAUAUGGGCCAUUAGAGCAUAAGUUAUAGUUGCUUUUAGUAUCAUUUAAAUAGUGCUUUCAUCUAUUUUUUAUCUGAUAAUCUCUUGUAUUUUACUGCAGAGAAAUUUGUUUUUAUUAAGGUUGUUGCACAUUGUAAGCCCUUGAGGACUAGGCAAGUGAUAAAUCUAACUGCAUAAAGUGAACAAAUU